CGCCUCUGCCACUUCCUGAUUGGACAGCACGUCCCAAAGUCCAUCUGUAGCCAGGAUCAUGACAUCAUCGGCACCGUGCUCAAACUGAGAGAGGCCCUGCGCAAAACAACACAACAAACAUCAAACAACAGCUGAACCUGAAGCGAAGAGACGCUCCGACGCAGGAAGAGCACGUCUGAGACUUUACAGAAAAAGCAGAGAGUUUCAGCUGCAGAAAGCGUUCUCUAUGGCUCCCACUACCAGACUCUCCUGUUUGAUCUUCUUCUCCAUGAAGAACCGUGGGGCCAUUGUAUUGGGGGACCCCGGGGCCCC